UCGGGUUGUAAACCUUUUUCAGCAGGGACGAAGCGUAAGUGACGGUACCUGCAGAAGAAGCGCCGGCCAACUACGUGCCAGCAGCCGCGGUAAGACGUAGGGCGCGAGCGUUGUCCGGAUUUAUUGGGCGUAAAGAGCUCGUAGGCGGCUUGUCGCGUCGACUGUGAAAACCCGCGGCUCAACCGCGGGCCUGCAGCCGAUACGGGCAGGCUAGAGUUCGGUAGGGGAGACUGGAAUUCCUGGUGUAGCGGUGAAAUGCGCAGAUAUCAGGAGGAACACCGAUGGCGAAGGCAGGUCUCUGGGCCGAUACUGACGCUGAGGAGCGAAAGCGUGGGGAGCGAACAGGAUUAGAUACCCUGGUAGUCCACGCUGUAAACGUUGGGCGCUAGGUGUGGGGGACCUCUCCGGUUCUCUGUGCCGCAGCUAACGCAUUAAGCGCCCCGCCUGGGGAGUACGGCCGCAAGGCUAAAACUCAAAGGAAUUGACGGGGGCCCGCACAAGCGGCGGAGCAUGCGGAUUAAUUCGAUGCAACGCGAAGAACCUUACCUGGGUUUGACAUCGCCGGAAAACUCGCAGAGAUGCGGGGUCCUUCGGGGCCGGUGACAGGUGGUGCAUGGCUGCCGUCAGCUCGUGUCGUGAGAUGUUGGGUUAAGUCCCGCAACGAGCGCAACCCUCGUUCGAUGUUGCCAGCGGGUCAAGCCGGGGACUCAUCGAGGACUGCCGGGGUCAACUCGGAGGAAGGUGGGGAUGACGUCAAGUCAUCAUGCCCCUUAUGUCCAGGGCUUCAAACACGCUACAAUGGCCGGUACAAAGGGCUGCAAACUCGCGAGGGUGAGCGAAUCCCAGAAAGCCGGUCUCAGUUCGGAUUGGGGUCUGCAACUCGACCCCAUGAAGUUGGAGUCGCUAGUAAUCGCAGAUCAGCAACGCCGCGGUGAAUACGUUCCCGGG
rnacentral:rRNA from 1 species